GACGAACGCUGGCGGCGUGCUUAACACAUGCAAGUCGAACGGAAAGGCCCUGCUUUUGUGGGGUGCGCUAGUGGCGACCGGGGGAGUAACACGUGAGUAACCUGCCCUUGACUUUGGGAUAACUUCAUAAAACUGGGUCUAAUACCGGAUAGGAUCUCCUGCUGCAUGAUGGGGCUUGGUAAGAUUCGGCGGUUGGUGAUGGACUCGCGGCUUAUCAGCUUGUUGGUUGGGUAGUGGCUUACCAAGGUCUUGAAGGGUAGCCGUCCUGAGCGGGGGACCGGACACAUUGGGAUUGAGCUACGGCCCAGACCCGUAUGGGAGGCAGCAGUGGAGAAUAUUGUACAAUACGCGGAAGGCUGACGCAACAAAGCCGCGUGCGGGAUGAGGGGCUUCGGGUUGUAAACCGAUGUCGCCUGUGACGAAGCGUGAGUGACGGUAAUGGGUAAAGAAGCACCGGCUAACUACGUG
rnacentral:rRNA from 1 species